AGAGCGAACGCUGGCGGCAGGCCUAACACAUGCAAGUCGAGCGCCGUAGCAAUACGGAGCGGCAGACGGGAGAGUAACACGUGGGAACGUGCCCUUCAGUUCGGAACAACCCAGGGAAACUUGGGCUAAUACCGGAUACGUCCGUAAGGAGAAAGAUUUAUCGCUGAAGGAUCGGCCCGCGUCUGAUUAGCUAGUUGGUGAGGUAACGGCUCACCAAGGCGACGAUCAGUAGCUGGUCUGAGAGGAUGAUCAGCCUCACUGGGACUGAGACACGGCCCAGACUCCUACGGGAGGCAGCAGUGGGAAUAUUGGACAAUGGGCGCAAGCCUGAUCCAGCCAUGCCGCGUGGGUGAUGAAGGCCCUAGGGUUGUAAAGCCCGUUUCGGCGGGGAAGAUAAUGACGGUACCGUAGAAGAAGCCCCGGCUAACUUCGUGCCAGCAGCCGC
rnacentral:rRNA from 1 species